GAAUUCCUGAGGUGCUUGGCACACACCUUCCCCCACACCCAACCACAUAUAUAUAUAUAUAUAUAUAUACAUAUAUAUAUAUAUACGGCAGCACGCGGGUGCAGGGUGGACAUAUAUAUAUAUAUAUAUAUACAGGAACGAAACGGGGACGCUCAUCCCAGGAAUUAUACGAAGCAGCAAGCACACGCGGCACUCCCCGCCCCAGCCCAUACAAGCCAGCGCACGCAUCUCUCUCUCUUUAUCUGUCUCGUCUCCCCUUUUAUAUCUAUCUGUCUAUCCCUCUGUUUCGCCUCGCCUUCCCCUCGCCUGAGCGUCCAUCACCACCGGCUUCCACAACUCCUUCUUGUUGUGUUCUCUUACUUGUCUUUCCUCACUUCCUGCGCAGGUGUGCGUCUCUUUUCACGCAUCACACCCACCACAACCACCAACACCCGCCACCGGAGGAGGAGAACGUGCUUCUUUCCGCCUUCUUCCGUACGCGUACCACAGCGCACUUGCCGAGACGGGGCAAGUGCGAGAAGGUGCGACGUGGCAAAUCUAGCGUGUGCUCACCACCAAACACACAACACACACACACACACACACACACACAAACACACGUGAACGCUGACGCGUGCACAGAGGGAGAGCGCGCACGCCAUAUAUCGAUUACCUUCUCGCCUCCUUGUCUCCUUCACUUUCCGUGGCCGUGCCUGUAGGUGCCUCACUGCCGCCACUACCACCGCUGCUCCGCACUCACAGACCGCGCACACCGACCGCCCAUCGUCGCCUGUAGAAGCGUCGCCAUCACCAGUGCUAUCAUCAUCACUGCCGUCGGUGCUGUUUUCCAUCCACAGCGCCGCACGCAUCGCGGCCGCUUUAUCAGCGCAUUACGUUGUCGGCGUCGUUGCCUGUGCGCUCCCCGCGCUGCGCCUUUCUCUUCCAUUCUAGCGCGUUUCGCUGUCGACACUUACCACAUCCCAAGACGGGAGAAGAGGAACCGACGACAGAGGCGAAGCAGCACGCGUUGGGCAGUCUCCGCCCAUCCCCCCCCCCCCCCCCCCCCCCACUCCGCCCCCGGUCUUAUCACUGCCAGCUCAACCGCUGUUGCCAUCUUCAGUGUCGUGGCUUUCUCCUGGACUGCGGCUCCCUUCAGCAUCGGUAGUAGUGAGGGAUAAGGCGAAAAGAUGGGCGGCGUCUGCUCACGUGCCACGGCGAAGCGCGCGCACCACGACCGGGGAAGCGCGGCUGGUAAGGACGCCAACCAGAACCAUGCCAGCUUGCCAAAGUCACCGGCUGCGAACGCUGCGCCGGGCGGGAGCUCGGGCACUUACGUGCGCGUCACCGACCGAAACGGUGGCGCCGGCAAUCCAGAGGCCGGCGUCCCGGAGCGGCCGCUCAGCGGCAGCGCCUUGGUUCUCCCCACCAGCGUUGACGCCCGAAGCAGCAACGCCAGCAGCGACUUUACCAGGAACAUCGGCCUUCUCUCGGCGAAAGCACCGUUGCGUGACAUGGAGACAAAGACGAGCAGCGUCGCCACCGCCAUCAGCUCCGCCGGCGGUAACCUGGCCCCGCUGAUGAACAACGGUGGCGCAUGUCCAAGUUCGGCGCAAGCGGGACCCCUCUACGACACCUACUUCCCUCCAGGCCACGACGCAGGGUUGAGGCUAGGGACUGACAAGUACACCGGCGUCGGUGCGAGCCCGCUUUCAGCGGUCAACUCACCCGAUCUGCAGAGUUUCGCCUCCACCGCAUCCUGCGGCAAGGAAAGCAAACCGCGCGACCAAGUCGCACACCCCGGCAUCGCGCGGCCGCAUGCGAACCCGAUGAUUUUCACGGACGAUGACACGUCCGUGAUAGAGACCGCGAGCUCGGCGUUUGCCACGCCGAGGGAGCUACGCAAGAGCUCGAGCAGUAUUGCUGGCUUCCCUCGCAGCGCCUCCAUCAUUAGCCGCGGCAGCAUGAUGAGCCAGCAACCACACGGCUACAGCUACUAUAACAGCAGCGCGACAUGCGCGGAGCACCGCCCGAUGCCUCCGUCUGCGUCGCUUCCACUGAGCGCGGCCCCGGCAUCCCUCACCCCCGCCGCGCCGAAAGGAAGCCAGAGGCUGCAGCUUCAACAGAAGCCGCAGCCCGUCUCCCCUGGCCAACACUCCAACACGACCCUCACGAACGUGAGCGCGAACCGGCAGGUGCUGGCGACGAGGAGCUUCGGCGGCGGAAGCACGCCGCUCACUCGACAGGGCUCCAUCGUCGGGUCGGACUGCUUCCAAAGCUGCUGCAGCUACACCGACGUGAUCUCGUCCGCAGCUGGCCACCUGACUCCCGCCACCCCAGCAGGUGCGGCUGCAGAGGCAGACGUGCGCCUCCUCUCUGGCGGCUACCCGGCGAGCACAGCCGGCGGAGCCUCUUCGAUGGGGCGACAGCUCUACACAUGCCGCAGCGCCUACACGCCCUCCACUCAUGCCCGAUCACUCUCUUCUCCUGCGGCGGCCACCACGGGCUCUGCGCACCCGCUGGCAGUCACCCACAGCCAAGGCGGGACGAUGCUGUCCAGCGUGCAGGACGCGUCGCUGUUGCCCCCACGCUCCCCGCUGCAGACCCCGCGUAGCGCCGCGGGGCCGUGCAGCACACCGAAUGCGCAGCAGCUGUACCUGAGGCGGCAAGCAAGCCUCUGCUCCGGUAUCGAGGACGCGCCUGCGUCUGAGGACUUCUUCUCAGUCCCGCCGAGCGCCCGCAACUUCUUCCUCGAGCGGUCCUCCGCAGCUGCAUCGACGCCGGCCAACCACUUUGCCCUUGGCAGGGGCUUCACCGAUACCGCGGCGGCGGCGGCGGCGAACGCAAGCCACCAGAGCACCACCACCACGCUCACCGGCAGCGGUAGCGCAGCAAGGAAGUCGAGAAGAGUAGAGAAGUGCAACGUUGCCUCUCCCGAGUCACGUUACUCGCGCUCCUUCGACGAUGCAGCAGCACUAUCAUCGUUGAAGCCCUUUUCAGAGUCCUUCAACUCCGGCUCCGCUCCGUCGUCGUGGACGGACGCAUCACCGCUGACCAGGAAGGCGCUGCCAGAGGAGCAGCAGCUUAGUCACACGCCCGCUGCGACCGGAAAGAAGGCCGCCAGCCAUGGCAAGAACAACAGCGGCGGCAGCAGAAAGGGAAGGCGGCUGCGGAAGCGACCCCACGCCCGCAGCGACUUCCUGCUCGACCUGAAUCCGCCGCCACAGGCGGCGCUUGAGAUGGCGGCAGCAGCGACCGGUAAGGCGAACCCUUCGCUGUCGUCCACCUCUGCAGCAGAUGCUAUGGCGAUGCCGCCGCUGCCGAGUGUCGCCUCGAACACUGUCGCGUUGGUCGACAACCACGGCACUGAAGCGGCCUUUGUAUCCUCCUCGACCGCGAGCAAAACAAGCACGCGCAAACCCGACGCCGCUGAUGGCCAUGUAGCUGCAAGGGGAGUACGGUUGACUCAGGCAUACGUCGAGACCCUUCCGCUCGCGUCAGAUGCUGCUGCUGCUGGUGGCGGUGGCGGCAAUACCGCGGUGCUGCCCACCUCGCCCUCUGGGAGCAUGAGCUCCUUCUCCACGGUUGCCUCGUCGUACCGGCGCGACGUCCGCGUGAGGGCGUCGUCGCGGGGUUCGUCGGAGGUACCGCAGCAGUCGCAGCGGCCGGAGAGCGACACUGCUCCUUGCAGGCGGCGGCACUCCUCCCGUGGCGCAGGCGGUGACAGUUCGAAGCUGCGUUCAAAGGAGGCCUCUGCCGCCUUCAGCGAUUCCGCGGAACAUGGCGGGAUGGAAAGCCACACUCCGGCUGCCAAGGCCACCAGGGGCGCCGGCGCUGCUGCUGGUGCUGAGGCAACGUCUGCGUCAUCGGUGGUGCCGCUCACGACGAACCCAAAGCCGUGGGUGCCGAGCGGUAGAUCGGCGGCGGCUAAUGCCGUCCGUUCUGACCCACGCAGCACCGCCGCCACCACAACAGGGCCGCCUGGUGACACCAGUCGUCGCUCGUCGCUGGCUCGCCGCAGCUCGACUCCAAAAAAAAGUAUCGGCGCGCGGCCCGCUUCUGCAACGAUGGCUGCGACUGCGCGUCGCUCUCCUGGCGGCGCUGCCAAGCCUGGCUCCGGGAAAGGAGCGCCGCGGCGGACCUCGGCAUCGGGCUCCCUCGUGCCUCCGUCGCCCACCGGUGCGCGCAAGCCGACAGCGAAACGGACAGCCGCGGCCGCCGACAGAGAGCCGUCGGAUGCUGAGAAGUCCGAGUCCGUCGUUGAGUACGCCAUCGGUAUUGGCGAUACAGAGGAGAGCGAGGGGCCAGGGAUGGACGUCGUGCACAUCGACGGUGGCAGCCGCGACAACGGUCUGCAGACCGCGCUGGAGGCCGCUUCUCCACAACAGCCGUCACCGCAGCAGCACGCGGACAGGACGGAGGAUGCCGUAAAAUUCAACGACGCCAAAGAUGGCUUCCCGGAGCCAGAGCGCGUGCCGCAGCCGUGUGACAGCAACGCAGAUGACGCUGAUGAGCCACGUCUCGCGGGCUUCCGAGCCUCGCCUGAUGUCUCCAACGCCACGGUUAUCACGUCGUUGGCGGAUAGCGCCUGCCUCCAGUUGUACACGGAGGCGCAGCUGGUUACGAUAUUCGGCGGCUCCGCAGCUAGGCUGCACGGUUGUGACAGCGACGAUAAACACCUUUGGGCCUCUGAUGAAGGAAGAGGCGGGGGUGGCGCGGCCAAGGAUGGCGACGACUCUGAGGACGACCGCGCCGCACUUCCCGCCGACUUGGAUAUGGUGGUGGAGCACCGAGCGGUGUUCUCCACCGACGGCGACGGACUGGGACCGUCCUCGGUCUCCGCAACAUCUGCUGAGGAGGUGAUGCUGGCGGCGACACCCAGUAGCGCUGCACGGAGUAAUGCCGAAUCACCCACCGCAAAGUACAGGGACGCACCAACGCUGACGAAGGAGGAUACGGUGCCCCCAGCGCUCGCCGUCAGCAACGGCGGCAACAAGUGCGAGGAGGCCAUGGAUUACUCACCGGUGGAGAUAUCGAGCCGCUCUUUUUCUUCGGGGUCCGACUCGCACGCCUCAGAGAUGCAGGUGACCACACUGCACUGAUGACGCCGCAAUCGAAAAAUGGAUAUAAGUCCGUUGCUUCUUUGUCCGCCCGCUCCCACUUGCUGGAUUUUGUGUGUGUGCGUGCGCGCAUGCAUGCAUUUGUGUGCAUGCGGAAAGCGUGCCUCAUCUUCGUUUUCCCUCCCUCCCUUCCUCUCCAUCGUGGUAAUGCCGUCCUUAAUCGACUCACCUGCGCACGUCGCUCUUCACGGUGCGAGAGCACCAAAAAUUCAAUGAUGAUUGCAUGCAAGCAUGUGUGAGUGCGUGCACUGCCCCCUUCCUUUCUUCCUUUCCUUCCCCUCGACAUAUCCAUCCCUUCCUUCAUCUUGUGGUGUAACGGUGUGUGUCUUGUGGAUGCCGAUGCUGCUGCGGCGCUUACUUUUCCGUCCCAUCUUUCUCUGCGGUUGCUUCUUUCUCCCUCUCGGUGUGUGUGUGUGUGUGUGUGUGUGUGCAUGCGCCCCGCCGUCCGCUUUAUUUGAUCGAUUUUGCUUGCGCUGCUUUCUGAUGCCGUCGUCUUCCGGCCACUUCCUUUCUUCGUAAAGAGCCUCCGUUCUCCCUCUGUGCGUCUCUGUAUGUCUGUACACAACGUGUGCGCACACCGUGUGCAGUCGGUGCGAGCGGCGCGCACGCAUGCGCACCUCUUUAUCUCUCUCGCUGUGCACGUGUCUGUCUUGGUGCUUUUAGGGGGGCCUUCAUGGAGUCGGCGCAGAUGGGCGGGCGGCUCUCCAACCGCACGAGCACGCGCUCAGGCAUAGGCACACGCGCGUGCACGCUCGACACCAGCGCCCAUCCAGAGGUCUCGCGUGGUGGCGCGGUGGAGGCGUGCACGUACGCGUGUGUUUGCAUUUUCUCUUUGGUUACUUUGGCACACCUGCGCUCUCCCUCUCUCUUCCUCCCCGCCGGCCUGCCUGUGGGUGCGCGUGCUCAUGUGCACAGGUCUGCCUUUGUCUGUCCGCCAGCUGUGAGAGGGAGGGAAGAGGGGAGGGAGGCGGCAUGUCGCGUCCGGUCGCUUUCCGUCCCGUCUCGCUCUACCUCUGUCUCUGUCUUGUGGUGUGCGUGUGUGUGUCUCUGUCUCUGUGUGUGUGUGUACCCUCCAUCUC
rnacentral:misc_RNA from 1 species